GGAGGCUGGGUCACAGCAUGGAGCAGCUCACUGCCAGGGACACCUGUUGGCACAGAGGGAGCUUGGAGUGGACUGAAAGGGAAUGUGAGAUGGAGAAGUGGACAAAGGGCCUUUGUACUGUCCUGAGGAACAGGAAGAAAAUGAGGACUGUACCUUAUGCUUCUGUGCCCUAGUGUCUCCCUCUUCAGGUUUCAAGCAGGAUGCCUAACAUAUCAAGAAGCAUUUAGCAAUCUUCCUAAUAAAUGCACACCACUGAAGAAAAUUAAGCAGCAGGGUCCGUCGCAAAGAAUGAUGAAAGAAGCUAAACCUGAGCUUCGGAAAACUGAAGAGCCCACUGCAAAAUCCUUCUCUUUGGAUCAGUCAGCUUUCUGAACUGUAGAUGGCAAAUCCCAUGAAACAGACACACUGGAAAGCCUGGAAAAGUCUAGAACUACAUCACAUGUCACAAUAAGUGACACCAACCUCCUACUUGAUGCCCAGAAGCUGCAGAACUGAGCCAGCCUAACACCUAGGAGUCCAAAAAAAAAGAACCAGCUCCUGCUCCUGGAUGACAGUCGCCUGGACCUGAGGUCUUCCCCACUAGUGAGCAACCUGACAGGGACCCCAGGCUGGGCUGCUGGGGUUUGAGAUUGACAGCAAAUCCCAAAAGUGCCUGCUUCUUACAGUUCUGUGCACUUCUCAGCUUCUUUGUAACUCUAGCCAGUCCCGAGUCAUGUCCUUGUUCCUAGAGCUUUAGCCAAAAGUCCCAGCUAUAGGAGGAUGGAAAUCUUGAAACUUGCUGAGAUGCCUCCUUGCGUUUUGUGGGGGGCAACCCAGCUUGCAAUGGCAGGACUAUAAAAAUGAGAUAGAGAAAGGAAGUGAUAUUUAUCAAGUACACACUAUGAGCCAGGUUUCUUUUCAUACAUGAUCCCAUUUAAUCGUUAAGACCUUGUAAGGCAGUGUUAUUAUCCCUGUGUACAGAUUAGGAAGAAAAACACAGAAAGGCAGCACAGCUUCAAGUUGUAAAGUGGCAAUCUGAACCCAGCCUGGUUGACUCCAAAGCCUGAUUCCAAAAACUGUUGGUAUUCAUUGAUAGCAAAUCCUAGAACCUGAGAGCUGGGAGAGGUGUCAGAGAUCGUGUGGCCCAACCCUUCAAACUCAGGGGGAAGAAACAGGGUCCCAAGAGCUGAAGCCACGUGUCCAAAGCCACAGUGAUAUUUGUUUGCUGUCUUAGCAUGCUGCUAUAAAAGUUGGUAAAUUAAAACAUCACCCAUAUAUUCGUCACAGUUUCUGUGGGUCAGAAGUCCAGCCACGGGGUGGCUCAGUAGGUUCUUUGCUUAGGGUCCCACCAGGCCAAAAUCAAGGUGCUGGCAGGGCUGUGUCCCUUUCUGGAGGCUCCAGGGAGGAUUCUAUUUCCAAGCUUACUUAUAUUGUUGGGAGAAUUUACAUCCUUAUAGUUACAGGAUGGAAGUCCCCAUUUCUCCACUGGUUCCAGGGCCCUUUCAGCUCCUUGGGGCCACCUGCAUUCCUGGACUCACUGCCCCACCCUCUGCAAGCCCCUAACAGCCCAUGGAGCAUUCUCACCUUUCCAUCCCUCCCACUUCUCCUUCAGCCCCAUCUCUCGGACUCCCGUGAAGAGAGUUCUUCGCUUUUGAGGACACAUGUGAUUUGGUUGGGCCUGCCCAGAUAAUUCAAGAUAAUUCUCUAUUGUAAGGGCAGCUCCCUGCAAACGAAUGGCAUCUCCAUGGAACAGGCUGUCCUCUUACAAAAAGACAGGCCCCAGCAAACCAGAAGAGAUUA
rnacentral:lncRNA from 10 species